rnacentral:rRNA from 1 species
UACAGAGGUCUCAAGCGUUGUUCGGAUUCAUUGGGCGUAAAGGGUGUGUAGGUGGCGCGCUAAGUCGGGUGUGAAAUUUCGGAGCUUAACUCCGAAACUGCAUUCGAUACUGCCGUGCUCGAGGACUGGAGAGGAGACUGGAAUUCAUGGUGUAGCAGUGAAAUGCGUAGAGAUCAUGAGGAAGACCAGUGGCGAAGGCGGGUCUCUGGACAGUUCCUGACACUGAGGCACGAAGGCCAGGGGAGCAAACGGG